UGUCUCUGAAGCGUAAAUUUAAAUUUGAGCGCGCACCCCUGAUUGACAAUGAUGAAGUGAGACGCAGCAGGGAGAGGUUUGGGUUCAAGGAAUCAAAGCAGCCUGUUGAAUCUACAAGAACAAGUCAGAGAAAUGUUUACAAGGUUCCAAAUGUCCUUGGUGAGGAUCCAUUUUCCAUUGAGGCUCAUGUAAAGGUCUUACACAGCCAGUAUCAGAAGGUGCAACCAGACACAGCAAUUGUCAAAGAUCGUAUGCAGCGGACCUUUGCAUGGCGGCGAAAGGAGAUCGCAGAUGGCAUGACUUUGGCAGACACACUUGAGAAAUACCCUUUCUUAAGAUCAUCAACAAGCCUGUGUGAAGAAUUGCAGCGUAUUCAUCCCGGAAUGGAAAACGUGCAACGAUUCAGUGAAGGCCUUGCCUGUAUUAUGCCAA